CCUACGGGAGGCAGCAGUGAGGAAUAUUGGUCAAUGGACGAGAGUCUGAACCAGCCAAGUAGCGUGAAGGAUGACUGCCCUAUGGGUUGUAAACUUCUUUUAUAUGGGAAUAAAAUGUUCCACGUGUGGGAUUUUGUAUGUACCAUAUGAAUAAGGAUCGGCUAACUCCGUGCCAGCAGCCGCGGUACUACGGAGGAUCCGAGCGUUAUCCGGAUUUAUUGGGUUUACAGGGAGCGUAGGUGGAUUGUUAAGUCAGUUGUGAAAGUUUGCGGCUCAACCGUAAAAUUGCAGUUGAAACUGGCAGUCUUGAGUACAGUAGAGGUGGGCGGAAUUCGUGGUGUAGCGGUGAAAUGCUUAGAUAUCACGAAGAACUCCGAUUGCGAAGGCAGUUCACUGGACUGCAACUGACACUGAGGCUCGAAAGUGUGGGUAUCAAACAGGAUUAGAUACCCCAGUAGUC
rnacentral:rRNA from 1 species